rnacentral:lncRNA from 1 species
GGCUGCCAGCACGCUGUCACCUUUCAUUAGGACCUGCUAAUUGGUUUCACAUGUGUGUGGAACCAUCCCAGGACUGGAUUCCAAUAUGAGGAGAGAAAUGGGUUAUUUCACUGAAAGGUAUGACUGAGUUAGACUGAAGAAACUCUUAUAUGACACUGUACUAUGGCUUUAAUGAGCAUUAGUGUUAGGAUGACAUUUUGUUUAGAGAGAUAUUGAUGGUAAAAAAGAAAAGGAUUUGAACUCCAGUUCACCAUUUCCUAAGCAUGACCUUGAGCUAUUCAUUCACUCUAUGUAGUCAUUUAAUAAAUAUUUAUUGAGCCCUAUAUAGGCCAAGCACUCUGUGAGGUGAUGGAAAUUCUCCUGCCCUCAAAAAGUAACAGUAAUUAUUAUUUGCAAUCUACCUCCCUAAGGCAUAACAAUGCCUAUCUUUCAGAGUUAUGUGUAAUAGGAUUUGUAAGUGGAUUUUUUUUUGUCUCAUAAUUGUCUACUUGGCUCCAAAGUUAGAGACAAAUAGGUGAAAAUUAGGAGACAAAUAGAUGAUUGGUAAACACCAGUCAUUAAGAGGCAAAUUCAUUCUGCUACUCCGCUUACCACUGUACUCACUAAUCUUGAGGGGACUACUGAAUUGUAAAUCUUCAGCCUCAGAAAGGGUUCUGUGUCUUUUCCUUUUACUCUUUCUCAGUGCCCCUUAUGCAUAAUCCAAUGGAGUAUUCCAAGGAAAAUAUUUUUAAUGACUGGGGGUUGCCUGCAAUAAGUUGAGCCUGAAAUCUCAUUUUUCAGUUGGAUACCUACUCAUGUCAUGGAUCUGUAGUAUUCUUUUUGCUUACUCCAGCAGUAGGAAAUAAUAUAGGGACAGAACUCAAGAGAGAGAAAAUGAGCAAUAGGGCAAUGAGGCACACUCCCAUUGUCUGGUAGAAAAAAGAUGCAUGAGUCUUCCAUAUGUCAAGUAGAUACUACAAAGGUACCAGGCUUGAACUAUUGUGAAGCAAGUUCAUCCUAGACUGUGACUUACUAAGAGAAGAGACCCCAGCAGCAAAAGCCUGUAAGGUGAGUUAUGCAGGAAAUAAGGAGACUGGAAGAGGUCUACAGGAGUCGAUUUCCUAUGAAAGGAGGUUGUGCAAUGAAGAGACUGCCUGCUACAUGGAGGACAGAGGUCACAACAACAACUGGUAAGCAAAACAUUUCUGCUGACUUUUGAGAAUUCUCUCUUCUUCCUCAACAUAGAAAGGGCUCAGAAAAUGCAAAAGGGAGGGGAAAGAGUUACGAGUAGCCUCCUCUCACUGCCACUGUGUCCUGGGGAGGAGAUGGACAUUUGAAUUGGACAAGAAACUGAAGUGGAUGGCACUGGAUUGCCUCUUUUCCACUCUUUUCCAGCCUAAAAAGUUCACAAAAUUGGCAUUUGCUGGAGAAGCCAUGAAGUCUUGGGAAAGGGAGAUUCGACAGAGCAUGUUACAGCCACAAUAGGAGAAAAAAACCUUCUCAGGUUUGAACCCUGCUGAGUUCACAGUUUUCAAUAAAUUGCUGACAAAUGCAAGGUGUUCAGACAAGUAGGUAGUGCUCCACAAAUAGUAGAUAUUAUUCUAGUCACCUAGAGAGAAUAAAUGUUCAGAAAAUGUCUACGUAUGUUUUGCUAUCAAAGAGCGAAUAAGAUAUUCAAUUUGUAUUUUUGCUUUAGAUAAAGCAUAAUGCCCUUAUUAUGCCUUCAAGUCUUCAUUUCCCCCACGAAGGGACGUUUUUCUGUGUUAUUUGACCAUAUGCCUUUUGCUACGCUGGGCAUUUGCCUUCUUUGACCUUUUCUGGACAUUCCCACUUUACCCGCCAGGGAUUGAGGAGAUUACAAAGGUCAUCUAAUCAUCUAGUCUCGUUUCCAAUUUGGUUAAGAUAAAAUAUUAUUUAAUUACUAGAAAAAUACUUUGUUAUUAAAAUCAAAGUGUCUUGUGCUGGUUUGCAAACAAAGUAAUUUCUACACGCUUAUAACACAAAGAGGAGACCAGAUGUGGUGAAGUAGAAGAGAGAGGACACUGGCUUUGGAGCCAGGGGACCCAGAGCGGCUCCCAGUAAUGUGAUAUUUUAUGUGUUUUCCAACCCCAUGCAGCAUCCAUUGCCUCACCUGUAAAAUAGGGGUUUUGACAAGGACCACAUCGAGUUAUUGUGAAGAGUAAAUAGAUGAUUAUAGAAAACAUGUCACACAGUGCUAGGCACAUAGAUGAAGCUUAAGGAAUAGCUGUUGUCCCGUUUCCAAGGUUGCAGAGUCAGAAGACACCCCUAAGAAGACAUAAAGUACUGUUGUUCAGAAGGAAGGCAUUGGGAAAGUCAAAAGGACACCAGAAAUAGUGAACUCAACAUUGAUUUGCACAUUUGACCAAGGUUGGUGGUCAUUUACGCAGCAGUAUUGAGAUGAUCCAUAGAAAGUCAUGAUAACACUAUUGGAGCAAAGUCACAAUAUUUGUAUUUUCAUAUGUAUCUCAUGAUGUAUAUAAGUACUCAUUUUAACACCCAUUGUUUAAAAACUGUUCAGAAUUCAGAAAAAUUAAAAAAUCAUUUAAACUAAAUAUUACAUUAUUGACUAUAACUUAAAUUUCAAAAUGUAAACAUUAACCAUCUAUUAUAAUUUGAAUUAGCAGGAUAAAAAGCAAUACAAAAGUAUAUAAAAUAAAGUAAACAUUGCACAAAAUGAAGAAAAUGAAUCCUGAAAAUUGAAAAUGAAUUAAAUUGGAUUUUCUGGCAAAUAUGAUCUUAAGAACAACGUGUAUCAAUGGUGUUAUCUUCGAUGGUGAGCCUCAUUUUGGGGCAUAUUCUUCUAGCCACUGGAAACACUUUCCAUAAUUUAAAAUAGACAGAAAAAUAGUGACGAGACAAAAAGCAACUAAGUCCAAAUAUCUUCCUCUGGAACUUUUAUUUACAAAUGAUUCCAUCUUUUUGUGAGAGUAUAAAGAUGAUCUUUUAGAAAUUUUUAUUUUUAUUGUAUUAAAGACUACGAUGUCUUUAUUGACAGCUGUAGUUUUUGUUAUUAAGGCCCAGAAGUCAGCUUACUGGAUGCCUGGUUCUUAGCUUUUGCUGUGAAAUAGCCUUUUUUGAAACAAAACAAAUCCAUCAGACAGGCAAGAGCUUCUACCACCAAACACUGACUGUUUUAGCUAUCAAUCUUACCCCAUUGGAGGCAGCCUUAUAUUGAGAGUAAGACGGACUCCUUUUUCCUUAUAAUUGUCUUUUAAGGAGGUCCUAUUUCAUUAAAUAUUCAGGGAAAAUUGUUUUUUGUUUGUUUGUUUGUUUGUUUUUUAAAAACCUUCUUUCAGGAAGUAGAACUAGGGUGAAUUUAAUCUGGGAAAAUUUGGGCUACUGUCCCAGUCAUCUUUGCUUUCUAGCUCAGAGGCCUUGAGAGAUCGUAAGGUCUCUCUUUUAAUGCUGGGUUUAACUCUCUGGUAAUUCUCAAAGUAUAAAUAAUUCAUGUCUCAGGUUUUAAAAAUGUUAAAAUAAUGAUAUCACACUAACAAAAUAUUGGCGUUUGGGUACAUAAGAGUCUGUAGUAUGAUCUACUAGAGUUCUAGAAUGUUGAACAUUGAUGGUGCAAUUAUUAAUUAAAAUUAUCUUGCUCAGAAGGUUUUCCUCCAUUAAACUACACUUUUUAGAGUAAGCUCACUUUGGUUUAAGGCACCUGUUCAUAGGAUGUCCUUAAAUAUAUGAAUAUUGCCCUGGGAGUUACCCUUUUAGUCAUUAAUAACUGGGCAUAAAUCACUUAUCUGCCAGGUAAUCAAGAACAGGACCCAGAACAAGUGUUUUUCUUUCUUUCUUUCUUUCUUUUUUUCUUAGGCUGGAGCAGUGGAAAGAGAACUAUGCACAAGGAUGAGGAGAAUAAUUGUGAUUGUGGGACAGGGCCCCAGGAGAGAGGUAUAGCAGACUGGCCUUGGAAAGCCUGCAGCUGCAUCAGGAAGGCAAAGCAUGCUUGGAAAAAAUGCUGACUGAAACAGCUGCUGGGUUAGUAACUAACUCCAACUUAGUUACUGGAGCUGCUGCUGUUUCUGCUGUGAUGAGAGGUAUGGAGGCCAUGUCAAAGCCUGGCUUUUUCUCCCCAGGAUUUGCAGGGAAGGCUGCAAAAACCAGGGUGAGAGAUGCUGAGUCUUCUGAGUUUUAUGACCAUUGGAAUGGCAUGAGUCAAUCAACCAUUGCUGAGCUCCUCUGAUCAGGACUCUGGGCAAGCAACAGUCUGGGGCUGAGGGUAGAUGAGGCCCAGGAGGAUCUGAGGAAAUGUCCAAGAUAGGUCUGGAAGAGUGAGGAAAAUGGAUGAUGAAAACUUAGCAUGUCUAGAAGGAGUGAGGUCUCAACAAAUGUGUAACUUAGUGUAUGUAGUAUUGGAGUGACGUUCUAGGAAUGGCCAAAAGCUAGGAUUCCAUAGGCUGAUUUGAAUGAAUUUGAGAUGUGUGCCCAUUUUGUUGUGCUUAUUAUGGCUGAUCCUGUAGUUUUAGCAAUUCAGUGAUCAUCUCAACUUUCUUCCUAAACAGCUGAGCCUGGAAAGCUAAAACUAACACUUUUCAGACUUCAAUGAAAUUACUGUUCUGAAUAUGAUUCAGGUUCUACCAAAGAGAUGUAUUCAUGAGAACUGAAUUUAGAACUGAAGGAAGUGGGGAGAGAAGCAUGAGCUGUGAUGGUAGUAGCUGCUGGGUAAGUGGCCAGCAGCCACUAUGGUACUUCCUAUCAUGGCAGAGACAACUGGUCUCAGAGGUGCCCAGUUGUGUCUUGUGGCUUUGGACAUUUCUCCUGGAUGCUCAACCUAGAGACUGUUUAUCUCUCAAGUGAUUUGUAAACCUUUUAAUGCUCUGUGAAAAAAAAAUUUAAUCCCUUUUGCCUAAACCAGCUAGAGUGGAUUCUAUUCUGAGGAAAUGACCAUAUUUUAAAGGUUUGCUGGAGAAGUCUGGAUGGGGGGUGGAGAGAAAGAAAUAUAAAAAUAGAGAUAGAAAUAGCUAAAUGGAGGGUAGAGAUAUUAAUUCCGGCUCUUAGAUGGUGGGCAACUCACUACCCACAAUUAUUAAAUCUGAUUUUUCCUCUCAGCACACAUUCAUAUAGAUACCAUGUAUGAAGAAUACAGGAGAACCCUGAAGGUAUCCAAAUGAAAUUGACUUCCCAGUCAUCAUUAAACAUUUAAAGAACUUCAACAAAACAUGCUCCAUGUUAAGGACUUUAGCACCUAAAAAUAAGGAAAGAUGCAGCUUUUGAUUUUAAACAUUUAUUGUUUUCAAGGGAAAGCCUUCUGUAUCCCUGCACACUUUAAGCAGGUAAAUGUUAGAUUGCUGCAUCAGCUCCUGGACUCUGCAUAACUUCUGAUGUCCUUCUGGUAAACCUUGAUCCCUUAUUGCAUCAUGUGACCUCCUCUCCCCCAGCUCUAGCUCUGCCUAGCCGCAGUCCCUGGAAAGUAAUACAGUGGAGGAGGACCCCCAUGAUUACAUUCUGCGAGAGGAGUUCCUAAGCAUUGCAGCAUGAAAAACAGUGCUUAAAAGCUUAAGCAAUAUUUUUCAAAAUAUUGACCUAUCUCAGUAGGAACUGAGAUAGGCAACAAAUCUGACUGACAGAAUACAUUUCAAACUUUCAAAAUUGUGUCUUCCUCUUACUGUGGGUCCUUACCCCUGAACAAAGUUCAUCACACCUGGCUUCACGUUGCAGGGUAUAUUUUUUUGAUGCCUGCCUUAUCUGGCUUCCAGUCAUGCCCUGGAAUUUGAGUGUCUCUCAAAUGUAAAAAUCAAAAAGUAUAUUGUAAAAAUGUCUAUACUAUGCAAAGUAAUAUACAGAUUCAAUGCAAUUUCUAUCAAGAUUCCAAUGACAUUUUUCACAGAAAUAGAAAAA